AUCUCCCUCAGCGCCUCGGAGCCGCGGGCCUCGCUCCGACAGGCCAGGAUGACGCGGGCCCCGCGCCGGGCGAAGUCCAGCGCUAUGAACUUCCCGAUGCCUGGCGAAGAGGAGGAGGGGAGAAGAACGAGGCUCCGUGUGAGAACUGGAGGAGAUGGACGUCGCUGGUUUCCCUGCUGGUAUUUACUGGUGGACACACAGCAAAGCUGCACAUCAGAGGUGGGAACGGAGAAAGUGAGGCCUCCAGAGCCUCAAAGCCUGAAGUGUUUACAACCUACAGACUGACAGGGGUCCUCACUGGGAAUGACUGAAAAGUACCUCAAAAAAUGAAACACAGGACAAGGUUCAGCAGAGAAAAGUGCACAAGCAGCUGAAAAGCCACCGACAGAACGAUGGAUCUGGGCGAAAAGCAUGUCAAGCCCAGAACACAGCAUCACAGGACACGUGUGACCUCACAGUGCCCGAGGAACGAAGUGAAAGCAGAAGGAAUGCUGAUUUUCCAGCACGGAACUAGAUACAAGGAUUGACGCAUUGAGGCGUCGCACUUGGUUUGUCUUUGCCAUCGGACUCAUCGGUUUCUCACCCGCUCUGACCUAAUUUCAUGAAGUCAUUUUGUGAUUCCAGCAGUUUAUUUCAGAUCACUGACGAUCAUACUUCAGCCAGUCUCUUUGCUGAUCUGUGCUCCAUUCUGAAACCAUUGAGUAUUUUAAAGUAGCGUUUUUACAUGAAGUGGACGUAAUUCUGAAUCACAUCCCUUAACCAGUAUGACCAGUAUGACCAGUGCACGGUCUAAUGUCAUCUUAAUGGAAAGUUUCCAGCUGAUUGACACACUUCUCUGGCAGGUUGAGUUCAUCCACCCACCGACUCAUCAUGAGACGAGCGGCUCUGACUGGCCAGCGAGCGGUGACUCUUUAGAUUCAGUCGACGCAGUUGCUUCCAGCGUAGUGAAGGGAAUGACUCCUGCCAGCCGCGUCUCGCCACGCGCUCUGGGAAAAUCCAGCGUUCCGUCACACAACGCGUUUACAUUGACCGGGUCCUUUAAUUGUUUACCAGACACGGUUACAGCAAGGUUCAGCUCGUGUGUGGAUCCUACAUUCAUGUCCCUGUGUUCUGCUCUUUUCUGUUCUCUCCAUGUUGGGAUUUUUAAAAAUAUUUUACAUUUUAUUAACAUAAAUAUAUUUUCUAAUACUUUGAUAGAAGUAUCACCUUUCUGGUAGCUUCAACUUAAAAAGGGAGAAUUUAUAAGCUUGUAAAAAUAUAGACACAAACCAUAGUUAGCACUUCACUGGCAUUUCCUGCAAGGUCCAAGGUCCAAAGAGGUUUUCUUUCCAGACAUUUGCGACCAUUUGCCUCAGAAAUGAGGUUUUCCGCUGCCACGUUAAGAUCAAACGCUAAUGCCGGCGCGUUCAGAGCGCGUGCCAGCCCCGACGAGCGCGUGCGACCCACCUGUAUUGGCUCCCGUCACUAUAGCCGUCUUCCCCUUGAGCUGCACGGCGCAGGCUCGCGGGUCCCAGCGCGCUCUCCUCUGCUGCCGCAGCACGAGCGCCAGCAGCACGGUGGAAGCGGCCCACAGCGGGUGACAGAGCAAAUCCGUCCACAUCAUCUCGUCGUGCGAACGCGUGUGAGCGACAGCCGGGAGGGAGAGGGAGAGAGAGAGGGAGUGAGAGAGGGAGCGAGAGAGAGUCCGACAGAAGUACGGCGGUGGGUGGUGUCUGCGACGCUCCGAGCCCCAGAGCCGACUCAGAGGUCAGACGAGGGGGACACCAGUCCAUGGACUUUGGUGUGAACUCUCAGGUGAAGAGUAACCGACCUGACUCUUCACAGACAAACACUGUUGCCUCUUCAGAUCAACCAGGUGUGUUUCGCUCGUCCCUGCGCACGACCAAGUUAUGAAGCAGCAGGACGUUAAAAGGAAAAGGAGAACGACACAGAGACAGGAACAAAUGUUAAAAAUGAACCAGGGCUGGAUAUACUUUAGAAUGAGAUUUUAGGACAUUUCAGACUCACAAUAACCAGAUAAAUAAUUGAGGUUUUCUAUCGUUCCUCAUAUUUCUCGGCAGGGUUGGUUUAGAUGUUUCAGGGACAGACGAUAUCUAAAUAGUCCUUUUACCGUAACACUCGGUCAACCAGUCUCUUACAGCCCAAGUGUAACAAGUAUCUGACUUCAGAACCAGCUGCGCUCACUUUAUUGGUUCAUUGUUAAUAUUUAACUGGGUAAAGAUGUUGGUGAGCGUUAUCCAUUGUGGGGUUAAACAAUUGGAUUUAGGUGUGAAUCCAAAAAAAUAUUGGAUGUGCAAAAAUCACAGGUUUGAGCUUUUGCAUAAGACACUUGGCUUUAAUAUGAAUAAAAAAAGCAAAAAUGCAAUGAGAAUUCUGAAUUGUCACAUAAUCAGAGUUUUGUUGUUGCUUGUCUUGUUGUUUGGCCUCUUCUAAGGAGAAAAAUGACCCUCCUGCUUCAUCCUGGCUGCAUGUCUUCAUGCUCACGUCACCCAACAACGGGGGCUGGCGGAGAUGGAAGCAGCAGAACAUUACCACCACAUGGUAACAUCUUGGACACAGCAGAGCUCAGGACUCACAAUUAAAUCCAGGCUACACAUGGUUUGACUUAAGGGAAAGUAUGAUGGACUGUGAAACCUACAGACAAAUAAGCAGGUAUGACUGAAGAACCGACCAAAACAUUUACAUGGACUGAAACAAACGCUGAUACUUUCGUACUGAGUUGACACCAUGUUGGAAUGUUGAAAGUAAACUUGCUUAUGUAACAUUAAACAUGUGGUUUAAAAAAAAAAAAAGAAUACGGGAAAAGAA